GUGUGCGAUCAGACUAGAUUUAGUGCACUGGAUCCUGUCAAAACUCUGCAGUUAAGCGUGCUUGGGCGAGAGUUGUACUCGGAUGGGUGACCUCUCGGGAAGUGCUAGUGUUGCACCCU
rfam:Picea glauca, whole genome shotgun sequence.